AAGUCGUAACAAGGUUUCCGUAGGUAGAACCUGCGGAAGGAUC
rnacentral:rRNA from 1 species